GACGAACGCUGGCGGCGUGCUUAACACAUGCAAGUCGAGCGGAAAGGCCCUGCUUUUGUGGGGUGCUCGAGUGGCGAACGGGUGAGUAACACGUGAGUAACCUGCCCUUGACUUUGGGAUAACUUCAGGAAACUGGGGCUAAUACCGGAUAGGAGCUCCUGCUGCAUGGUGGGGGUUGGAAAGUUUCGGCGGUUGGGGAUGGACUCGCGGCUUAUCAGCUUGUUGGUGGGGUAGUGGCUUACCAAGGCUUUGACGGGUAGCCGGCCUGAGAGGGUGACCGGCCACAUUGGGACUGAGAUACGGCCCAGACUCCUACGGGAGGCAGCAGUGGGGAAUAUUGCACAAUGGGCGGAAGCCUGAUGCAGCAACGCCGCGUGCGGGAUGACGGCCUUCGGGUUGCAAACCGCUUUCGCCUGUGACGAAGCGUGAGUGACGGUAAUGGGUAAAGAAGCACCGGCUAACUACGUG
rnacentral:rRNA from 1 species